ensembl:lncRNA
AUGAUUUGCUGGUGGUGUGGCCCUGGCUGCUGCUUGGACUGUCUCUCAUCCUCAGUGCCAUCACACCACCCUUCGGCACGCUCUCCACCUCUGCGGCUUUUGACGGCAAGCUGUAAUAUGGACGUACGGACCUUUACUUUGAUAUUACCAUCCGUCCAUCUCGCCUCUUUUCCACCUCUCCUCUAUUUCAUUCUUCCUCUUUCGUUUCAUGUGAACAGCCUUCCAGUCAACAUGACCGCUGCGAGAAAAUUGUGAUCGGCUUCAUACUCAUCCUCAUCCUCACACCAGGGUGGGGUUUUUAAGCAUAUGUGUGAAUGUCAGGCUUGAGGAAAAUGGUGGACAGCUAGUCAAGUCUCAGGUCUCUAUAUACAGAUACAAAGCUUGUCUGUCUGUAAAAGGUUCAGUACAACUUUAACUGUUUUUUUUCUCUCUCUCUCUCUCUCCUUUUCUCUCCUGCAGUACAUAACAAAUCAUCAAAGCCAGGAUUAAAAUUUCGUGAAGGAGCAGCUUUGACUGCUGGAAGACUUAAGCGUAUUAGCUUUAAAACCAAGAUGGGAGUUUCAAGUGAUGUAUGGCAGACUUCAAAGAUGUUUUAAUCUGUCAGUAGGCAUGCUCUUGCACAGGCUAUUUAUAUUAGGACACAGUGUUUCUGCUUGCACAUCCUAAUCAAUGGCUUCUCAGGCUAGACCCAGCCUGAUGUUGGUGUUAACCAGUUAUUAAACAGCUGCACUUCCUCUAGAUUGUUUCCUCUGCUUUUCUUUAGAGUGGUCUUUAGAGGCACAACAUGUACUUAUUAUGAAUAAUCAUUUUAUGAUUUAAUGGUCACAACUGCACUUCUAUUCAUGCUACUGAAAUGUAUUUGGACGCUUAUAAGGUCACACUUAAAAAUUUAAAUGUCUUUGCAUUAUAUCAGUAUAUCAAACAUUAAAACAUAUGACAAAAAGAGUUGUUUGGACACUUUCUGGUUAGUGUAACAUUCAUUGUUAAUGGGAUGAAUUACAGCUGUGUUUACUCUGAUGGAGCACAUGUAGUUGACAUGAUAUCUAAGAGGAUCGGCAGUAUCUUGUGGUGUGACAUGCUACAUUUUUUUCCACAUCUUCUAGGCGUUUUGUAUAGCCUUAUUAAUUGGGACAUGAAUACACUAUAAAAAAUUAUAUGAUUUGUAAAUCAUGGCAACUUGUGUUUUAUCAUUGACUCGUCAACUUUUUAUAAAUUAUAUGAAGGUCAACUUUUUAAGUCGGUUUAAUGUUAAGUUGAAAUGACUUUUACAACCAAGUUGAUUAUACUUAAAAUUUUAAGGCAGCAACUAAAGUUUUUAAAUUGAAAUAGGUGAAUUUUUUUACAGUGAAUAUUGCUACUGUUAAAAUGAAUUUGUUGCACUGCAGAACAAUUUAAAAUAAUUAUCUAUCAAAGGGAAAUUGUGUUUAAAAUGUUUUGACUAAAAUAAAUGUUGACCACAGGACUUGAAACA